ensembl:lncRNA
GGCACACUGAGAGAGAGACAGGCUGUCUCCUGCUGUGCCCAGUGCUGGGAGGCAUGUCCUGACCCAAGCCUCUGCCCUCUGUCACCCAGCCUGAGUGCGGCUGCAUCACACGGCCAGCAUGGCCACUAUACCUGAGGCUCAGUGCCACAGUGGGUGUCAGAUGUCUUGUUCAGGGACACUACCAAUAGAGCUGCAUCUGGGCAUGAAAUGGACAGAAAAAAAAUAAAAAAAAACCUGCUGUACCAUAAACAGGACGUUUACCUAGUCUUUACAAAAGUUUUUUUUAAAAAAAAUCUCUUUUUUUCCUGUCAUUGGAAUAAGGCAAGAAAGGCACCUUCUCUCUGUUCCCACAGGUUGAGAAGAUAGAAACAGAUCCUCUUCUUCUCUUAGCCACCAUGAUCUUUCCUCUUGCCUCUCUAUGAGACUGCCAAAGACCAGAAGUGUUAUUUGCCGUGGCUGUAGACUCUGAGAUUUGCGCUGGAAAGUCUGUAUGAAGAAAAUCUACCUUGGGCAUCAGAAAGGCUCCCAAGGUCUAAUUAGACAAGUUGGAAAUCUUGCAAGCUAAAGAGGAGAUAUGAUAUUGGAGUUUCUGACAUGGGACAGCUCCAUGGAAGUGUUCCCAAUCAUGCAAGAUGAAGAACCUGCAUUGCUAGAGCCGGGGUUUGCUGAGAAUGCUCCUGGAUGCUCACCACAUCUCUAUUUCCUAUUUCAUGGGGGAACUCCCAAAUGGUCAUAGGCCAGCUGGCAGCAGACUUGGAGCAAGGCCACCUCCAACUUGUGACCUUCAUUUGUGACUGAAGCACUAAGAAGCUAUCACUGGGAAAAUUUCACACAGCUCGCAGGUUUAGUUACAGUGGUGAAUGACUGCUGGCAAACUAAAUGUUUAUACAGAGAAAAAUCAGAGAGCAAAUUGUAUAGAUCACAUUAACUGAGUCAGAUGGCAGAGGUAAAAAUGCCUGAGAUUCACCUAAAUAGAACUAAUACUGCAUCUUUCCCAAACUGAACUGCUACUGAAGAACUUUUUUUUCAACUGUUUUGUGGUUUUAAAGAGAGCUACGUUAUUUUCAGGUCAUAAUGCUUACACUGCAUGGGAUAAUACUGUGAUUUUAAAAAACAGAUAGGAACUCUGGCCAUUACAUUAACAUCAAUGCAUCAUUAAUUUAUUUCUUGGAAAAAGUACAUAAAUUUCUUUUUUUUAAAGGUGAUGUGUGUUUUAAAUACAGUUUUGUAUUUUUUCUGUACUUCACAUUGGGUACUACUUGUCUUGGGUCCAGCUUCCUGCCCUUAAACAGCACACCCUAAUCCUGUUCCAGAUUAGUUUGUAAUCUGUGCCACCUAUUGCAUCAUCCAAGACAUCCACCAGAAAGAACAGAGCCCUCCUGGAGUGACCCGCUGUAGUUACCAGAGCAGGUGUGCAAAUCCUUGUGCACACACCAGGUUUGCUUACCAGACUGCCCCGAGCCUCACAAAAAAUCAAGCUCUAUCUGAUAUACUAGAUCACUUGCUCUGUCAGAGAAACUUCUGUGGUUUAACACAGUCUGAAUCGGUACAGCCUUCUCCACACUUUCUCUCCCUUACUUUGGGAACCCAUAGGCUGGCUAUUUAACUAUUUGCUUUUGAGUCCUCCAGGAGGAAGGUGUUUCCUUGCCAGAAACCCAUCCCUUCCUUCGCAGCACGACACAGUGCUUCUCCCAGAAAGACUGCCAGAAGGAGGCCCCUCAGCUCUCCCCCUUUUC